CCAGUCCAUUUUAGUUCACUAUUUCCUAAAAUGUUGAUGUUCACUCUUGCCAUAUCCUGUAUGACCACUUCCAAUUUAGCUUGAUUCAUGGACCUAACAUUCUAGGUUCCUAUACAACAGUGGUUUUUACGGCAUCAGACUUUACUUGCUUCGCCAAGUGAGUGUUGCUUUUCUUUG